UACAGGUGUGAUACAAGAAGUAGAUUAUUAUCCUCCACUGUGGACUCAGUAGCAGGGAGAUGAAGAGGAACAUGACUGAGAGA
ensembl:snoRNA SNORD62 Small nucleolar RNA SNORD62